UAGCAAGUGCCUCCCUCGACAUGGUUAGUGAAGAUUAACAAUCUUCGGGGGUUGAGUAAGAAUGGGUUGGGCUCUGAACAAGCUAACUUAGUUUGAGAUGUGAACUUGGGUGAACUGAUGAGUGCAGGUGCAUGCCCUAUAUAUACUAACAAUCAAAGUGCUGAAGGCAUUCAUGAUAUCAGGAGUUAUGAGCUCCAGACGCCUUGGAAUCUAACUUUAAGGUAGAGUAUGAUAUUGGUCGCCAUCACUGGAAAUAUUUAGGCCUGUCCACUCUAAGCCUACACUAAUUGAAGGAGUGUCCAAUGCAAUUCCACAUCGAUGGAAUAAAAUCUGAUGGCCACGCUUUCUUAUUCCCUAUAUCUGGAACCCUAGACAUGAUGCGUUCCUAAUGAAAAGUUGAUUGCCUUUUUGACUUGUCUUUCAGAUUGACAACUGUUCUUCAGGCUCAACAAGAAAAUUCCCUCCCUCUUCCUCAAUAAUAGUUCUAGGCAAAUGGGAUACGUAAGCAUCAAAAGGCCAAGUACCUCCCCGUGUUAUAUUUCGCUGCUGUAUACUCCCUCCGUCCGGAAAUACUUGUCGUAGAAAUGGAUACAAAUGGAUGUAUGUAGAACUAAAAUACAUCUAGAUACAUCCAUUCCUCGGACAAGUAUUUUCGGACGGAGGGAGUACAAGUUAGAGCAUACAUACUACAAACGAUUUUAUUUUAUCGGUAUUGCAGCCAUGAUCUACUAAUUAAUAUGAACGGCAAAAGUGGUUUUUCAACCAUGAUUGGUUGGGAAUAUUAUCAUACCACAACGAUAUAAAGUGGUUACGGAUUUCUAUCGACACCUGUUCAUUGCCGUCUCCUAAUUUAAUAUUUUGUCUCUUGAUAGUGCUUUUAUCGAGUAGUGGCUUUUGAAGCUAAUUAGUGGUACAGGUGUGUGGUUUAUUUCAAUUCAUCCCGACAUCUAGAAUACAGAACCAAGCCUAGUUCAUCCUUAAAAAACUAGAGUGGUAGUUUAGAUGAUGAUGAGGUGGCAUAUUGACUUUAUAUUUUUGUUUCAUAUAUUCUCUGAUAUGAUUGUUCAUUGGUCUUUCAAUCGAGAUCUAGCCCAGGGGACUAAACGCUCAAACAGGCAUAAUGUGACUAAGGCCCAGCAGUUGAGUUUGAAAUGACAAUUUCAGCACAGCCAUUUUUCUUUUCGGAAAACCAACAAACAAAGUUUGAACAGUAACUAUAUCUGUGCUGGACUUGCAGUGUCAUUGAAACUGAAAUUCAAAUGCAUUUUUGCUUAUCUAUCCAAUAGGUGAACCUAUAAAUUCUUUUGUUUUUGGUCCUGAAAAUUAGUCAUUCCCCACUCCUAUAAUUAUAUAAUAUUGUCAUCCUUCAUAUCAUGCUAUCAUCAGCGACAUUCUGUCACUUAACUAAUUUUUAUGUACCAUUAAACUGAAAGCUCCUUGGGUAACUAUCGUCAGGAUACAAGCUUCCACGCCAAAUUCAAAGAUUCAUUCAACAGACACUGAUUGCGAUAUAUGCGAUGUAUCGCGCAUGUGCUGCUAGCUAAUUUUCGACGAAGUUCUUUGUACUCCGUACGUCUCGCCCAGCUUGCCUAACAGAAUAUGAUCUCUAAGGAGUGAGGGAAUAUGCCUGCGGAGCUGAUGGGCUUUAGAUAAAGAGAAGGCGGAAAGCAAGAGAGAGAUAAGUUGCAGAGCGCAGGCCUGUUGAGCUGAACUGGAGAAUCCUCUGUGAUUUCUCAAGUUCUCACAUUAAUCGAUGCAGGGGUUCCAGAAAUCAGAGUGAAAGCUCAUCAUCUUAUCAUAUCUUUCAUGUCAUCUGGAGCAAAUAAACACUACUCCGGAAAUUGAACCGGAGUAACGCCUGAAAGGUGCUAUUCUCGUCCAUCAACUGGUUGGUUAUGGAUUACAUGGAUUUCUGUAGCUUUCACGGCACAAGGAGCAUAUCUGCAAAUGGAAGCCGGAUCAGAUCAGUAUACUGGAUAGAUGGAAGCUCUCUGACCGUUAGAUAUGCAUGCCACUUUUGGGGAAAGGGGCGGAGCAGGAAAGGCAACGAGGCCGGUUACGUGGACGCAGCGAACGUCAGGCUGGAGGAAGCAUCCACGGACCCAACUGUGUCUGGCAUGAUAAUCUUGACCGGAGAUGGAGCAGACAAUGAGCCAUCCGCCCAUCCCCCUUCACGUGGCGCGGCAUCCCAUUCGGCAUCCGCCCGAUGGGACUCACCGAAAUGAAAGUCGCCGACGCCGGCCCUCCCGCCGGGAUUCUGGAAAUGGACCAGCAAGAAUCGCCGGAGAGGAUGGUGUGGGAGGGCAAAGCUGCUGAAAACGGCAAAAAAGAUUGUUCCUCCGCCAUUGGCUGGCUGGAUCAGAAAAUGACACUUGUUAGCGCCAAAAGUCCUUGUCGAGAUUGUUCUCCUGCCAUUGGCUCGUUGGAUCAGAAAACGACGCUAGUUAGGAGUACUGAAGAUCAUUGUCUGUGCUCAGGAUGCAUGGAGGUCUCAUGGCAAAGCAAACGUACGUACGUGGACAGCAACUGUCCUCUGGCUGAGCUGUGCGCCUACAGUGUCACCACCCAAAUUCAUUUUUUAUAUUGAAGUUAAAUGCUUAUUCUUCUCGAAAUGGGCUUGUUAGCACUAAAAGCAAACUAAUUUUAUUUCACUUUUGCCGGCCUUAGCUUUUGACAAUGUAUCACAAUUGCCCCUCUAAAAAUUUUGUUUAUGCCACUUGAAUGAUAAUUGUCAAAAGCUAAGGCCUCCUUUGGUUUAGAGGAAUGUUGUAGGAAUUUCAUAUGAUAGGAUUUCUAUAGGAAAAAUUCCUU